GCAAGGGUCGCCAGAGGACGGGUCCGCGUCCCAUCAGCUAGUUGGUGAGGUAAUGGCUCACCAAGGCGAAGACGGGUAGCUGGUCUGAGAGGAUGAUCAGCCACACUGGAACUGAGACACGGUCCAGACUCCUACGGGAGGCAGCAGUGGGGAAUAUUGCGCAAUGGGCGAAAGCCUGACGCAGCCACGCCGCGUGAGCGAUGAAGGUCUUCGGAUCGUAAAGCUCUGUGGGGGAGAAGAAGAAAGUCGGUGAAGAGCCGGCCCUGACGGUAUCCCCUUAGCAAGCACCGGCUAACUCCGUGCCAGCAGCCGCGGUAAUACGGAGGGUGCAAACGUUGCUCGGAAUCAUUGGGCGUAAAGCGCGCGUAGGCGGCUGAACAAGUUGGAUGUGAAAGCCCUGGGCUCAACCUAGGAUGUGCAUUCAAAACUGUUCGGCUUGAGUCUCGGAGGGGGUCAGAGAAUUCUCGGUGUAGAGGUGAAAUUCGUAGAUAUCGGGAG
rnacentral:rRNA from 1 species